CUCUGUGUCAUUUUACACAGCGUGGGAAAGUUCUUUGGAACUUUCUCACGCUGUGUAAAAUGGUACAGAG
rnacentral:miRNA from 1 species